rnacentral:rRNA from 1 species
GAUGAACGCUGGCGGCGUGCCUAAUACAUGCAAGUAGAACGCUGAAGGAGGAGCUUGCUCUUCUGGAUGAGUUGCGAACGGGUGAGUAACGCGUAGGUAACCUGCCUGGUAGCGGGGGAUAACUAUUGGAAACGAUAGCUAAUACCGCAUGACAACAGUUAUUGCAUGAUAACUGUUUAAAAGGGGCAACUGCUCCACUACCAGAUGGACCUGCGUUGUAUUAGCUAGUUGGUGAGGUAACGGCUCACCAAGGCGACGAUACAUAGCCGACCUGAGAGGGUGAUCGGCCACACUGGGACUGAGACACGGCCCAGACUCCUACGGGAGGCAGCAGUAGGGAAUCUUCGGCAAUGGACGGAAGUCUGACCGAGCAACGCCGCGUGAGGGAAGAAGGGUGUCGGAUCGUAAAGCUCUGUUGUAAGAGAAGAACGAGUGUGAGAGUGGAAAGUUCACACUGUGACGGUAUCUGACCAGAAAGGGACGGCUAACUACGUG